UGUAGGAGUAGGAUGUGCAUCUAGAUGGAAUCUAUCGAUCUUGAUAGAAAAGAGUAGUUCUAUGAGAUUUGAGAGGCUAAGUCCAUACGUCUAUAGCCACAGUAGUGUGAUUGAUUGAAAUUUUUUUUAUGAGAAUCAUAAUUGAACUUGAGCUAAUCAAAUCUAUUAUAUGACUGAUGAUGAGGUUUGAUGAUUUAUUCACGAUCUACCAUCUAGUCGGGACUCAUGAUAGAAGGACUGAAUCAUACAAAAAUUAUACCUUAAGGUUCGUUAUUCGAUUCUGUUAGGUUGCUAUUACAUACUGCUAGGUGUCACGGAUGAAUUGUAAGAGCUCACUAGGAUUGUUUAGGAUCGACAAUC
rnacentral:lncRNA from 1 species